UGGCGGCAUGCCUUACACAUGCAAGUCGAACGGCAGCACGGACUUCGGUCUGGUGGCGAGUGGCGAACGGGUGAGUAAUGCAUCGGAACGUGCCAUUGAGUGGGGGAUAACGUAGCGAAAGUUGCGCUAAUACCGCAUAUUCUGUGAGCAGGAAAGCAGGGGACCGCAAGGCCUUGCGCUCUUUGAGCGGCCGAUGUCAGAUUAGCUAGUUGGUGAGGUAAAGGCUUACCAAGGCGACGAUCUGUAGCGGGUCUGAGAGGAUGAUCCGCCACACUGGAACUGAGACACGGUCCAGACUCCUACGGGAGGCAGCAGUGGGGAAUUUUGGACAAUGGGGGCAACCCUGAUCCAGCCAUGCCGCGUGAGUGAAGAAGGCCUUCGGGUUGUAAAGCUCUUUCGGCCGGGAAGAAAUCGCAUGGGCCAAUACCCUGUGUGGAUGACGGUACCGGAAUAAGAAGCACCGGCUAACUACGUG
rnacentral:rRNA from 1 species